UGGGGAAUAUUGGACAAUGGGCGAAAGCCUGAUCCAGCCAUGCCGCGUGAGUGAUGAAGGCCCUAGGGUUGUAAAGCUCUUUCAACGGUGAAGAUAAUGACGGUAACCGUAGAAGAAGCCCCGGCUAACUUCGUGCCAGCAGCCGCGGUAAUACGAAGGGGGCUAGCGUUGUUCGGAAUUACUGGGCGUAAAGCGCACGUAGGCGGAUACUUAAGUCAGGGGUGAAAUCCCGGGGCUCAACCCCGGAACUGCCUUUGAUACUGGGUAUCUCGAGUCCGGAAGAGGUGAGUGGAAUUCCGAGUGUAGAGGUGAAAUUCGUAGAUAUUCGGAGGAACACCAGUGGCGAAGGCGGCUCACUGGUCCGGUACUGACGCUGAGGUGCGAAAGCGUGGGGAGCAAACAGGAUUAGAUACCCCCGUAGUCC
rnacentral:rRNA from 1 species